rnacentral:lncRNA from 1 species
UACAACGACAGAUUCAUUCAACUAUCCAAAUAUGCACCGGAUGAAGUGGCUGAGGAUGAGAGAAAGCAGGAACACUUCAUCGAAGGACUCAAUGGACCUUGGCAGUAUGCUCUAGUGGUUCACACCUUUCCAUCAUUUCAGAGGUUGUUUGACACGGCCCUAGCCAUUGAACACAAGUGUGUUCAGCCAGGGGACAUGAAGAGGAAGGCGAUAUCCCAGGGUCAGGGGAGCAGCAAUGUUCGUCCUCGCUAUGUUCCACCCCAGGGUACACCGGUUCGCACUGGAGGAGGCCAGCGUCCAGCUCAGUACACACCACAGGGCACUCCACCGACUCAUCAGGCUGCCCCCACUGGCACCCCGGUGAAAUUCUCAGGACAGAGUGCUGGUACCACAUGCUACAAGUGUGGUAAGACAGGGCAUUAUGCUAAUGUUUGUCCGCAGAGGAUUGCUACUACACCUGUGCAGAACAAGUAACAGACUCCAGGAUCUGGCAAGGGAUUCACUAUUGCUAGGGUUAAUCAAGUCAGCGCUGAUGCUACUGCUAAAGGAGAUGACAUCGCACUUGGUAUGUUUUAUAUUAAUGCAAUUCAUGCAGCAAUAUUAUUUGAUUCUGGUGCUACACAUUCAUUUAUUUCUGCUCGAUAUGCCAACACAAAUGAGUUACCACUGCAAAAUAUGAAAACACCAAUGGUAGUAAUUACACCUAAAGGGCCUGUUGAGGCAAAUUGUAUGACACAUAGAUUGACAUUGACAAUUAUGGGAAGAGAAUUUUGGGCUACCCCUAUAGUAUUAGAGGAAAGCAGUAUAGAUUUGAUCCUUGGUAUGUCAUGGUUAAGAAAGGCAAAGGGCGUUAUACAUUGUGCUAGGGGUAUUGUAGAACUCACUGGCUCUAAAGGAGAAAGAUUUUAAGUUGAAAUUAUAGUAACUGCCUCUACCAGAUGUGGCAGAACCUCCCAAGUUAUUGGGCCCACAUGCACCUGUCCUUGUCUCAAAGACCUCAGACGGCUAUGCAUGUGCACUAGGUAACUUAACAGGAUCUGUCCAAGUGCCCCAAGGACCUCGGAUAAACCACUUACAACCAGAACCGCGGGAUUAAGUAAACACAAAUCACACACCAACAAAUUUUGCAGCGGAAAUCUUAUUACCAAAUUUUACAUGUUACAUCAAGUUUUAUGUACAUGAUCGGAGUGAUUACAAAAGUGAUUCAAAGAAAUUACUUUGAAUUGUUAUAAAUUGUUUAUAAGUUUGAAAUAUAUGCUAGCUUAAGUGACCAUCCUCAAUAAGAAGUUUAGAAGAGUUACUUAGACUUAUAAGAAGGCCGUGCCCACCAGCGCUUAACACCAAUCACAAUCAAGUGACUCGUAACCUGCAACAACAAUGGGUAAAACCCUAAGUACGCAAGUACUCAACAAGACUUACCCGACUAAAGAAAAGACUCUCAAGGAUAUGCUGGAUUUGAGAGUCAAGGAAAGGCUUUUAGCAAGAAUCAACAUUAAUAGUUUGCAGAAAGCUUACUAAAAUGAGUCCUUACUUUCAACAUUUUAAUGCUAGAUUAAGUAUUAAUAGACCUCGUUUGCAUCUAGUCUAAUUUCAUCAUAACUUCAAUCAAUACAACAUGAUUUUUGCUCAUUAUGAUUCCAUCCAUGACUUAAAUUGCAAGUCAGUGACCAAGUCUUCAUAUCCGAGAAGUAACGGUGAUCCUAAAUCGAUUAAUACCUAGCUGGGGAUCUCCAAUCACAUGACAUAUGUAGCACUUAACCCUUGCAUAUGUCAACUCGCCACCGGGGUUCUUAAGACCAGAUCUGGUUCAUGCCCACCGAGAGCACAGAUACACCACCGUCCAGCCUCUUGCCACGGAGGGUACACGCUACUCUCACCAUCUCUCCACUCCCAUUGCGUGUUAUCUUAUUCUGGUAUUAGUCUGCCCGAGGCAAAGCUUACCCAUGAUGAGGCAUGUGACCAGUUAAAAGGUCCUCGGUCAGCAGGCCUACAUUCUCUAUAAUCCUUAAUCAACCUGGGUAGAACAUCACUUGUUCCUAGCCCAAGUCUCGAUUUAAGUACUUCCACCCUUAGGAUUGUUUUUGUUCCUUAGGAUGAAAAGAGUAUUAUAGGGAACUUUGUAGUAAGAUCCCACCACUGCUCCCAAUGAAAAUAUUCUUGCAGGCAGAAGCUAGGCAUUAACGCAAAGGACAACCUCUAUCCACAAGAUUUACCUCUAGGCAAGGCUAAGCAUUUUUGUAAAUCAUAUUUUGAUACUUCAUCAGAAGUAUCUAUAAAGGGAUGGAUUUCAAGGUAGGCAAUGCAUCAAAAGGUUUCCAAGCAACUCCUAUAAACCUAAUGCAUAUUUCGCUAGACUUAAAGUGUGUAAAAAUUAUUUAAAAACACAAGGAAGGGGUCGCAUGCACCGGGGCUUGCCUGGAUAACACUAGGUUAGUGUUGUUAGACGAUGACCACUUGACGAGUAUCCUUGUCCUAGCACUUGAUGAGGGAGGUUCUUCCAUCAGCAUUACCAUGCGUAGUAGCCCGCGCUUGGGGUCGACUUGGCUCGUCUUCCGCAUCACGCGAUUAAUUAUCGUACCUCAUGGGAUGCACAAUGCACAUGUAUGAAUAUAUAGAGGAAUAUUAUAAAACAAUUAAUCUACGUUGAAGAUGACGAAACACUUAUAACAAAGCAUUAAGCAGAUACUAACUAGUGAUAUAUGACUAAUUAUAAUAAUUAUGCUUUUCUAGCCUAUUCAAAGGUAUUUCAUAUAUCACAAAACUAUAUAUAUAUAUAUAUAUAUAUAUAUAUAUAUAUAUAUAUAUAUAUAUAUAUAUAUAUAUAUAUAUUCACGCUCUACUUUCUUUUACGAUUUAUUAACAGAAUCAUAUUACUACAUACAUUUUUACCAAGCAUAUUUUAUACAAUAUACCAUCACACCAAUCACUAGAUAAGAAAAUCGUUGAUCAUAUCCUACUCCAACAUUAUCGAUUACAAACAUAGAUGCUACUAACUACUAGCGCAGGACAUCGACUUCAUCUUACGCGCACUGAACACAAUUAGCAUCGACAAAUCUAUCGAUAAUUGCAUAAAAUACUAAAUUUAACCUACGCGUCACCGAAAUACUACACUCUGUAAAAUAGAACUAGUUCGAAUAUACUCGGCAACUAAACUCCUCGAAGCACACCUCGCAUUACUGGUAUUUCUAACUUAAACUUAAUACGCAAACUAAGCGUCUUAUUUCACAAUCAUAAAAUCAAUAGCAAAAAUAGUAAAUCGGCUCACCGUUACAAUAGCUGACUCGAAUCCGCGAGAUCAGUAAUGAUUUUCCGAUUUAGGCAAUUUGUCGAGCGCUUGGCAGAUACUAUCCGAACUUCACGCACCCCACCAUCCAACUUUUGGACAUCUUCUCUUGGGGAUUCUUUUGUCAGUGCGAUUCCAACUCGGAGACAUCACGUAGGGACCAACAUCGAGACUGGGUGACCGAACGACGACGACAAGACAAAGGUUAGAGACGACUAGAUAUCAACGACAAGCACUAGAGUUUUACGACAGGCUAUUGUAAUGGGACGUCGAUACACUAUCCAUGGCAAUUAGGAGAUCGACGUAGGCGGAAUCGAUAGCCGAACAGGAACUGCGCAGAUCGACGACACGAGACUCGAUCUAGUGAGCACGACGCAAGGGAUCGUAGCUGCCUGCUGCUUCGACAUGAACUACUUGCUGCCGAGCACGACACAGGCCGGGGAGCAGGAACGCUACGCAGCGAAAGCCACGGUUGUGUGCAGGGGUGAACUCGGCUGGGCGCGGCGAGCUGGGCACACGGCGACUUGAGGAAGCUGCGCGCAUGGAAGGAGCAGAGGGGCUACUGAGCGUUCGGCCGACCUCGGCUAGGGAGAGCACCGGGGCGAGCCAUGGAGCUUGGGACGAGGAGCAGGAAGGACCGGCGAGCUUCGGCGAGCUGCGCGCAGGGAAGUUGGGUGCCGAGCGCCAGGAAGGGGAUGGGCUGGAGCAGCGAGCUGCAGAGACCGAGCUCGGCAGAGAGAGCUGCGGCGCGAUAGAGGAAGAAGAUGUGCGCAGGGUGGCAAACUUCGCGCACGCCGGGGAGCUGGGCAAACUCCAUGGGCGAGCAGAAGUCGGGCUCAAAGGGGAUCCGGCUAGGCGCGGCCGAUCAGGGGUGCCGCGGCAAGGGAGUAGAGAGAAUCAUGCGGACGACCGGAACUCCGUCAGGGCGCGCGCCAUGGGGACGAGCUGAGGUGGACCAUGGACGUCCGCGGCUGGAACAGGGAAACUUGAGGGAGCUCGACGGCCAGGAGAAAAAGGCCGAGCAGAGAGGGACUGAGGCGAGCAGGCACCUGGGCACGCGACCAUGAAGAAGGAGGAGCGCGCAUGGGAGCUCCACUGCUGGGAAGAUGAGCGCCGUGGCCAGGAGAUAAGGCCGAUGGCCCCUGCGGUGAAGAAAUAGCAAAGGGAGAGAGAGAGUUAGGCAGUGGAGAUUUUUCUUCCACGAGCGGCGGCCGGAUGAGGAUGCGCGCAGAUGGAAUAUCAGGGACAA